rnacentral:lncRNA from 1 species
GGACCGGGUAUAUUAUCCGAUACACAAACUGACACUUGGAAUGGUACAACGUUUUUCCAACUAGUGUUUACAUUUGACAAGCAUAACUGACCGAGCUUAGGAAGCUCAUGGGCUACAGAAUUUGUAUUACGGAGGCAAGUUGUAACUUGUUGCUUGGCAAACCACACCAUUAACUGAAAUUUACUGUAUUCGAUGAUUGUUGCAGACGGCGAGGAGUCCACCUUCAUUAAAUCCAUAGCCUGCUGGAGUAGCACCGAGUCCAUCUCAGUGUCCACCCAAAGACCACCCACUUAUGCUGUUAUGGAUAUUCCUUCCGACGGCGCCGUGCUUCUGCACCAAAGGGGUCAGUGACAUGAUCCACAUUUCCAGCUCAAGCGAGUAUCAAUACGCCCUAUUCAUCACGCACAACUACAACACCCUUGUGGCAAAGGAUUCUCCGUAAGUGUAUGCUACAUCAAGAUUGAUCUUCAGCAUACCUCCCUUGGGUGGGUGCCACCGGUUGUUCUCUCGCCUUUGUGAUUUCCCGUUGAACUGCUGCAGGUAUUCUUUGGUGUCAUCGAGAGGCUGACGUGUUAGUUUCCUAAGUGUCAAGCAUGUGGAUGUUUCACACUAAAAACUUGUGUGAAAACCAAGAAUAUUUGUGUUUUUAUAGUUUACGUAGUCGCGUAAAAUUUCAGCACGAUCAAAAAAAUACAUCCUAUUUAUACUGAACAUCUUUACUUCCUUAUAUCCUACUUGUUUUUUAAACCUUAACUAGUUUGAUAUAAAAUUUAAAAUAAAAGAUUAACUAGCACUCCGUCCACCCCAUAAUGUAAGACGUUUUUGACACUAUGUUUUUUUAUUACAACAUUUUAAACACCAUUAUAUGUUUAAACCUACAUUCAAAUUCCGCCAUUAUAAUAUUCAGUUUGGAUCUUUAGAAAUACACUAG